rnacentral:rRNA from 1 species
AUUGAACGCUGGCGGCAGGCCUAACACAUGCAAGUCGAGCGAGUGGCGGACGGGUGAGUAAUGUCUGGGAAUCUGCCUGAUGGCGGGGGAUAACUACUGGAAACGGUAGCUAAUCCCGCAUACCAUCAGAUGACCCCAUAUGGGAUUCGCUAGUAGGUAAGGUAACGGCUUACCUAGGCGACGAUCCCUAGCUGUGCUGAGAGGAUGAUCAGCCACACGUGGAAUGAGACACGGGCCAGACUCCUACGUGAGGCAGCAGUGGGGAAUAUUGGGCAAGGGGCGAAAGUCUGAUGGAGCAAUGCCGCGUGAGUGAAGAAGGUUUUCGGAUUGUAAAACUCUGUCGUCAGAGAAGCGGUAUCUAAACAGGAAGCACCGGCUAACUCCGUGCCAGCAGCCGCGGUAAUAC